AGCUUGGAUCCCGGGAAUUUUAGCGUCGGACGGGUGAGUAACACGUGGGUAACCUGCCCAUAAGACUGGGAUAACUCCGGGAAACCGGGGCUAAUACCGGAUAACAUUUUGAACUGCAUGGUUCGAAAUUGAAAGGCGGCUUCGGCUGUCACUUAUGGAUGGACCCGCGUCGCAUUAGCUAGUUGGUGAGGUAACGGCUCACCAAGGCAACGAUGCGUAGCCGACCUGAGAGGGUGAUCGGCCACACUGGGACUGAGACACGGCCCAAACUCCUACGGGAGGCAGCAGUAGGGAAUCUUCCGCAAUGGACGAAAGUCUGACGGAGCAACGCCGCGUGAGUGAUGAAGGCUUUCGGGUCGUAAAACUCUGUUGUUAGGGAAGAACAAGUGCUAGUUGAAUAAGCUGGCACCUUGACGGUACCUAACCAGAAAGCCACGGCUAACUACGUGCCAGCAGCCGCGGUAAUACGUAGGUGGCAAGCGUUAUCCGGAAUUAUUGGGCGUAAAGCGCGCGCAGGUGGUUUCUUAAGUCUGAUGUGAAAGCCCACGGCUCAACCGUGGAGGGUCAUUGGAAACUGGGAGACUUGAGUGCAGAAGAGGAAAGUGGAAUUCCAUGUGUAGCGGUGAAAUGCGUAGAGAUAUGGAGGAACACCCGUGGCGAAGGCGACUUUCUGGUCUGUAACUGACACUGAGGCGCGAAAGCGUGGGGCAGCAAACAGGAUUACAUACCCUGGUAAUCCACGCCCGUAAACCAUGAGUGCUUAAUGUUAGAGGGUUUCCC
rnacentral:rRNA from 1 species